rnacentral:rRNA from 1 species
GAUGAACGCUGGCGGCGUGCCUAAUACAUGCAAGUCGAGCGAACAGAUGAGGAGCUUGCUCCUCUGACGUUAGCGGCGGACGGGUGAGUAACACGUGGAUAACCUACCUAUAAGACUGGGAUAACUUCGGGAAACCGGAGCUAAUACCGGAUAAUAUAUUGAACCGCAUGGUUCAAUAGUGAAAGACGGUUUUGCUGUCACUUAUAGAUGGAUCGGCGCCGCAUUAGCUAGUUGGUAAGGUAACGGCUUACCAAGGCGACGAUGCGUAGCCGACCUGAGAGGGUGAUCGGCCACACUGGAACUGAGACACGGUCCAGACUCCUACGGGAGGCAGCAGUAGGGAAUCUUCCGCAAUGGGCGAAAGCCUGACGGAGCAACGCCGCGUGAGUGAUGAAGGUCUUCGGAUCGUAAAACUCUGUUAUUAGGGAAGAACAAAUGUGUAAGUAACUAUGCACGUCUUGACGGUACCUAAUCAGAAAGCCACGGCUAACUACGUG